CGCGUAGGCGGCGCGGGCAGUCAACGGUGAAAGCUUGGGGCUCAACCCCGAGUCGGCCGUCGAUACUCCCGUGCUUGAGCACUGUAGAGGCAGGUGGAAUUCCGGGUGUAGCGGUGGAAUGCGUAGAGAUCCGGAAGAACACCGGUGGCGAAGGCGGCCUGCUGGGCAGUAGCUGACGCUGAGGCGCGACAGCGUGGGAGCAAACA
rnacentral:rRNA from 1 species